GUUGAGUGUUUGCGACAAUUUUAGUAAAACCUAUGAUGUACCUGAUGUUAAAUUUUUUAUUUGUUCUCGCUCGAGUUCUUCGACCCAAACGUUCUUGGCUCUCACUGUCUCUCUUGCUCUGGCAGAAGCUACUCCACGACCACCCCCAACAACGUCGCCUUUGUUAGUGUCGCCCAAACCCUUCGCCUCACUUCUUAUCCUCUCAGUGUGAAGUCCGCAGUGCGAACCCUAGCUGCGAAGUCUUGCUCGCUUGCACCUGCGCCCUCCCUUCCUCUCUUUGACCACUCUUCCUCACUGAUUCUGCCUUCGAAAGACACAAGAAACACAAAAGAAUGCAUGAAGAGAGUUGAAGCCCUAAAGACUCUCGGUCAGGGCGCCACACUCACACAGCGCGACACGGUCACACAACGGGAAACCCUCGCUUAGCGCGAAGAAGUCACCUAAGGACACCAGAUGUCACGUGAAGGCGCGCUUAGCGCGCGUAGCCACUUACUCCUCACUUAGCACAUAGUUGCACUUAGCGCGAGGUCGUGAAAAAACACAACUGAGUUGCAUCUUAAGUGAGGAAAAAUGAGGGAAUCAGACAUUCAGUCUUACCCACACUGAAGAAAGGCUAAGGCAUGUCCAAGGAGAGGAGAAUCACCCAUUAGGAGUCAUUCCUUCCCUUCAUCUCCAUUUUUCUUCCCUUCUCUUCCACCACCUUCACCAUUUUUGUAAUUUUAAGUCUUUCAUGACAAUGAGAGCCUAAACCACCCAUUGUUGGGAGUUUAGCAACUAAACACUCUUGAUGUAAUGAUUCUUACUAUCUAUUUAAUGUUAUUUCAGUUUCA